UACGUAGGGGGCAAGCGUUGCUCGGAAUCACUGGGCUUAAAGCGUGUGUAGGCGGAUCGUUAAGUGCCUUGUGAAAUCCCAUGGCUUAACCAUGGAACUGCUUGGCAUACUGGCGGUCUUGAGCCACUUAGGGGCAACCGGAACAAAUGGUGGAGCGGUGAAAUGCGUAGAUAUCAUUUGGAACGCCAAUGGUGAAAACAGGUUGCUGGGAGUGUGCUGACGCUGAGACACGAAAGCCAGGGGAGCGAACGGG
rnacentral:rRNA from 1 species